CGGGUUUAGCCUUUCCGGUUCCGGACCCGGAUGGAAAUUUGAAAUACCGGACCCGGAUAUAAACCCGGAUAUUUUUACUCCAGGUCCGGUCCGGGUUCAACCCGGAAAAAUCCGGGUUUCCGGAUUCCGGGUUUAGAACCCGGAUGCUUGCUAAACAUACACGAUUUUCUCUCUCUCUCCACUGUGAAUUCCUCCUUACAACUUUAACCUAUUACCAACAACAAUGGAAAAAUAAUGCAAAAUCAAAUAACUAUAAAUAAAUUCCAAGGCAAUAGAGCAUACAAAAUUCAAAUUUCAAACAUAAUGAUGACAAAUUUUGCAAUGAUGAUGACAAAUUGGGCUUUGUGGGGUUAAGCCAAGAAAAGCCGAAAAGGGAGGAAUGGGUUUUGGUCUUCAAAAUCACGUAUGCUGUUCAAGCCUUUGUUCUCAUCUCCACUCUUGCUUUCUUCUUCCUUUGCUGCGGGUGCACUUCUAAUCUCCUUUUCUUCUUCCUUUGUUGCGGCUGCACUUCUGAUCUCCUUUUCUUCUUCCUUUGGUGCUCUUUUUCCUUUGCUGUUUGGUUUUUUAUUUUGUAUUCUUUAAUUAAUUUUGUAUUCUUUCUUCAUCGAUCUUCUUCGCCUCUGAUGAUGAUGAACAUGAAUACAGCAAAGUAGCGAAGCAAUGGUGAGUGGCGACGAUGAUUUGAUGAAGAGAAGGGCUGAACGGAGAGAAAAUGGUUUGGCUUGAUGAUGAUUUGAUGAAGAGAAGGGAGAGAGUGGAAAUGUUUGGCAGCGGCGGUGAAUUAGGGCAAGGCUAAAUUUUUUUUUUUAAUUUUUCAAUUUAUAUUAAAUACAGAUGUCCGGGUCCGGGUUCCGGAUUUACGGGUUCACCCAAACCCGGAACCGGACCCGGAUUCAUCCGGGUUGAUAAAAUUCAAUCCGGAUUCCGGAUUUAAUUUGUUCCGGUACGGGUUGAACCCGGACCGGAUUUUCCGGGUUCGUCCGGGUCCAAUCCGGGUCCGGGUUAAAUUGCCACCCCUAUCCAUCAUCAAGCAAUGAUGUACAUUAACUUAAACAAUGAAUCCAUAAGCUUUGCGAUGCUAUCAAAGCAUUGCAACUCACAUACACUUAAACUUAUCUCUAUUAUUUUGCCUUCUUAACAGUAAUAUUUGUUACUACAUUUUAAAUCUGGAGCAAUUCUCUAGCUAAAAAUAAACUGUAUUUUUCUUUUAGGAUAGGUUGUCUCUAAAAUGAACAGCCUUAAAGUAGUU
rnacentral:lncRNA from 1 species